AAUAGAUACCCGGGUAGUCCACGCCGUAAACGAUGAGUGCUAAGUGUUAGAGGGUUUCCGCCCUUUAGUGCUGCAGCAAACGCAUUAAGCACUCCGCCUGGGGAGUACGGUCGCAAGACUGAAACUCAAAGGAAUUGACGGGGGCCCGCACAAGCGGUGGAGCAUGUGGUUUAAUUCGAAGCAACGCGAAGAACCUUACCAGGUCUUGACAUCCCACUGCCCGGUAUAGAGAUAUACCUUUCCCUUCGGGGACAGUGGUGACAGGUGGUGCAUGGUUGUCGUCAGCUCGUGUCGUGAGAUGUUGGGUUAAGUCCCGCAACGAGCGCAACCCUUGAUCUUAGUUGCCAGCAUUUAGUUGGGCACUCUAAGGUGACUGCCGGUGACAAACCGGAGGAAGGUGGGGAUGACGUCAAAUCAUCAUGCCCCUUAUGACCUGGGCUACACACGUGCUACAAUGGAUGGUACAAAGGGCUGCAAGACCGCGAGGUCAAGCCAAUCCCAAUAAAACCAUUCUCAGUUCGGAUUGCAGGCUG
rnacentral:rRNA from 1 species